rnacentral:misc_RNA from 1 species
AACGGUCUAUACCUGCGGUACCUGCGGAGGGAUCAUUACUGAGUUACCACUCUUAACCCUUUGUGAACUUUACCUAGUGUUGCUUCGGCAGGCUUUCCCUGGGAGGGAAGUAGCCUAUUUUUUAGGCAGCCUGGCAGAGGCACAUUUUACUCUGAUUUUUUUGGAUUUCUGAGUUUUUAUAAAAAGAAAAAAACUUUUAACAAUGGAUCUCU